AGCAGCCUGCGCGUGCGAGGGAGAGGAUGCGGUUGUUUCAUCCCAAUCUGCGCCACCUGAGGACACUUUGUGGCUCCUGAUGAGCUACUCUUUCACGCGCUUUCACUCUCCUCCGAUGCCAUCGAGCCUUUUGGAGUAGAAAUGAACGCGGAGCGAGUAAGUAAUCGAUGCUUUGUGCAAUGUUCUGAAGGCAGAUUUUAAAAUCAGUGCUUCUGUGUGUUUCUCAAAAAAAAAAAAAAAAAAAAAAACUCUCAUGAACCAGAAUGAAUGAGGUAUUUUAAAUGGAUUUGUGUGUUUUUCCAAGCGACGCCAAGCUGUUACUGAAUCCCUGAAGUUUGAUGCUGAAAGCUUUGAUCCGCAUCUUUUAUAAGAAUGUGUCUGCACGUGCAGAUCUGAGGGAAAUGUUGGCAACAUUAGCCAAGACGUUUGCAUUAACAUGGAGAGAGGAGAGACACCGCCUGCAGACAGGAUGAGGUGCAGCUGUCAGCCUGCAGCUGGAAACGAGGGUGGGUGGCUGGAAGGCUGGAUGAAGGCUGGUAGAUGACUGAACUCCGAGACCCGGUGCAGCUCAUCAUCAUUGCCAGAGGCUCUUGUCUUCUUCCUCCCCUCCCCAUGGCUCGUACCUCCAUCCAGAAGGUCUAGCAGAGCCAGCGAAGCCCAGCCGAGACUCCAGUGAGUGGGCUGGGAAAGAUGGAGAAUGUCCCUGAAGGCUAGAAUCACCUCUGGAGCUACCAACAUGCAGGAGAAAUCAAUAUGAAACACAGAGACAUCACAGCUUUGAGUGAGGUUUCCUAUUUUUCCUUUUUUUUUUUUUUUUUGAGUGUGUGGCCUGAAGGGCCGACAGACCUCCAAAGGACACUCCCUGCGUGGCUCUUCUCAGCUGCAGCCUCCAGCUCCUUACUGGACCUCGGUCCUGAUCUCCACUGGCUGUGUGUGGUUCUGCUGAAGGCUGUUUCUCUCCAAAUGUUAUCCACCAUGUCAAAAGACUGCUGAGAGGCAUGUUCCUUUUUCUUUUCUUCCUCCCUCAUCAUGAGAUUGACAUAUCCCACCACCGUCUGCCUCUGGCAACCAGCUUGGAACUUCUGCUCUUGACUCACUCUGCAACUUUAACUCAUCUGCUGCUUAUUCCCCAACUGGUUUUUACACUUGACAAACAG